GUGUGUGCUUGGUGCUAUAAAGAGGACCAAAGUAAAUGUAAGAUUAUUCUCAAGAUUGUAUUACUAAACUUUUCUGAAGUAACAUGAUUUCUAAUAGUGAAACUAUUAAAACAAGACAGUAAAUUGUUAAGUACUAAAUUUUACUGUCCGUAAGUGCUGCAGACAUGAGGAUCAAGUGAUGGAGGGCUUGGGCAUUAUAAACAUACAGAACCAGGUAAGCAAAGGCUCAGAGGAGGGAACCAAUGUGGUGAGUAGGAAGACUCACAAAGAGUUCAGGCUGCUUGUAAUACAAUAUAUAUGAUGAUGAAGACCACAGAGAAGCCUGAGCUAAGAAAACUGAAGAGGCCAGAUCAGGAAGGAUCUGCUAAGUUAAGCUAAGAGGUCUGCUCUUUAUUCAGGGGACAGUGGAGAACCAUUAAAAAUUAAGCUGUGUUUUAGGAUGAUUAACCAGGAUUUGGUACACGUGAACAUGCCACAGUAGAGGAAAGACUGAAGGAGGAAAGAUCAGUCAGAAUUACAACACAACAAAAAAUUGACAAGGUUUCAAAAUUUAGUUUAGCCAGAACUAAAAGGAACUAGAUGCAGAGAAGGUGUUAAUUGAUCAGUUAACCUGAUGGGAGAGCAGAGAAAACAGAACACCAAAUUUUUCUGACUAUACUUAUUGACAACCUGGAAGCCCGGAGGAGAAAUACGUAUAUUCAAUCUGAGAUAACAAGUUUGGUUUUGGAGUUAAAGACUCAGAAGGAGAUAAAACCUGCUCCAGAGAAGAAAACUUAGGAAAAACCAUAAUCGCAAAUCUUUCUUUGGUAAAGAAAUCAUCUUUUUUGCUUUAAGUAAUGUGAGUGGAAAACUUACCAAAGAAAAUGAAUCUGUUUAAGGUUGGAGAUUA
rnacentral:lncRNA from 1 species